ACUGCUCAGUAACACGUGGACAACCUACCCUUAGGACGGGGAUAAACCCGGGAAACUGGGUAUAAUACCCGAUAGAUCUCGGCCGCUGGAAUGCAUCGAGAUCUAAAGCUCCGGCGCCUAAGGAUGGGUCUGCGGCCUAUCAGGUAGUAGUGGGUGUAGUGUACCUACUAGCCUACGACGGGUACGGGUUGUGAGAGCAAGAGCCCGGAGAUGGAUUCUGAGACACGAAUCCAGGCCCUACGGGGUGCAGCAGGCGCGAAAACUUUACAAUGCUGGCAACAGCGAUAAGGGGACCUCGAGUGCCAGGUUACAAAUCUGGCUGUCGUGAUGCCUAAAAAGCAUUGCAUAGCAAGGGCCGGGCAAGACCGGUGCCAGCCGCCGCGGUAACACCGGCGGCUCGAGUGGUAACCGUUAUUAUUGGGUCUAAAGGGUCUGUAGCCGGCCGGAUAAGUCUCUUGGGAAAUCUGGCAGCUUAACUGUCAGGCUUUCAGGAGAUACUGUCUGGCUCGAGGCCGGGAGAGGUGAGAGGUACUUCAGGGGUAGGGGUGAAAUCUUGUAAUCCUUGAAGGACCACCAGUGGCGAAGGCGUCUCACCAGAACGGACCUGACGGCAAGGGACGAAAGCUAGGGGCACGAACCGGAUUAGAUACCCGGGUAGUCCUAGCCGUAAACGAUACUCGCUAGGUGUCGGCCACGGUGCGACCGUUGUCGGUGCCGUAGGGAAGCCGUGAAGCGAGCCACCUGGGAAGUACGGCCGCAAGGCUGAAACUUAAAGGAAUUGGCGGGGGAG
rnacentral:rRNA from 1 species